UGAAGCCCUUAUCUCUGAGGAAUUGACAGAUCUCCACCCCUCCGCAUAGAAGGAUGGCUUCUUCGCCAAACUUAUUUUGUGAAUUUUCGGCUUUGAUAUUCCUCUCUCAGAUAUCUUCUUUUCCUGGGAAAAGAUGAACUAAAAUAGUCUAGCAAGCUAAUACUUACAAUUAUAGGGGAAAUAAAUAUAGUAAGUUUAUUCAUAUGGGCCCCUUCUACGAGGAAAUGUUGGAUCUUCUUCCUUCAUCUCAAGGGAUGGUUCUUCAAGUGAUGAAAAAUUAUUGACAGAGGAGUCUUAAGAUAUCACAUUCUCUUAGUGAGAAGUAUUUUGGCUAUGUCUUUGUAUGAGUAAUGGACAAUUGCUAUAUUUUUAGGCAAC